rnacentral:rRNA from 1 species
UACAGAGGGCCCAAGCGUUGUUCGGAUUCACUGGGCGUAAAGGGUGCGUAGGCGGACUAUUAAGUCAGGGGUGAAAUCCUGGAGCUCAACUCCAGAACUGCCUUUGAUACUGAGGAUCUUGAGUUCGGGAGAGGUGAGUGGAACUGCGAGUGUAGAGGUGAAAUUCGUAGAUAUUCGCAAGAACACCAGUGGCGAAGGCGGCUCACUGGCCCGAUACUGACGCUGAGGCACGAAAGCGUGGGGAGCAAACAGG